rnacentral:rRNA from 1 species
UACAGAGGGGGCCAGCGUUAUUCGGAAUUAUUGGGCGUGAAGGGCGCGUAGGCGGCCAUGCGUGUCUUCCGUGAAAUCCCUCGGCUUAACCGAGGACGUGCGGAAGAAACUGCAAGGCUCGAGUCCGGAAGAGGGGGGCGGAAUUCCCAGUGUAGCGGUGAAAUGCGUAGAUAUUGGGAGGAACACCAGUGGCGAAGGCGGUCCCCUGGGCCGGAACUGACGCUGAGGCGCGAAAGCGUGGGUAGCAAACGGG